rnacentral:rRNA from 1 species
UACGAAGGGGGCUAGCGUUGCUCGGAAUCACUGGGCGUAAAGCGCACGUAGGCGGCUUUCUAAGUCAGGGGUGAAAUCCUGGAGCUCAACUCCAGAACUGCCUUUGAUACUGGGAAGCUCGAGUCCGGAAGAGGUGAGUGGAACUCCGAGUGUAGAGGUGAAAUUCGUAGAUAUUCGGAAGAACACCAGUGGCGAAGGUGGCUCACUGGUCCGGUACUGACGCUGAGGUGCGAAAGCGUGGGGAGCAAACAGG